rnacentral:lncRNA from 1 species
GCAUCUGUAGCGCGGGGAAACAAUCCAUCCUCCAACUUCCAUUGGUGAGCUUCCACACCUUGACCGUGUUGUCGCAGCCACCAGACGCGAGUUUCUGAACAUAUUCAUACUGGCCAGAAGGUCCUGCACUGAUUAGAGCACCAGGUGCCAUCGAAGGAGCCCAAGAGACUGAGGUCACUCCCACUGGAUGCGCCUGAUCAAUGCGUGUUGUGUCCCAACCUCCAUCAGAACGAGCAGUGAAGACUGAAAUGUUCCCAUCAGAUGAACCACACGCCAAGCUUAGACCCAGCUCAUGAGGCGCCCAUGCAAUGGAAUUCACAGAGGACUUGUGCUCAACAAAGGUGUGUGCCUGUG